rnacentral:rRNA from 1 species
UUGUGGCCUUUAGACAUACUACCAACGGCGGCGCGAGCGUAAGCCUCUGGAACAGAGCGUCUACGUGGGUGAGAAUCCUGUGUUUCGCUUGAUGCCCGCCGUGCACGGUACUUGCUCUCAGAGUCACGCUCCUCGGAAUUGGAGCGUAAAUUGGGUGGUAAAUUUCAUCUAAAGCUAAAUACAGGCUCGAGACCGAUAGCAAACAAGUACCAUGAGGGAAAGAUGAAAAGGACUUUGAAAAGAGAGUUAAAAGUGCUUGAAAUCGCUGAACUGGAAGCGAAUGGAACUAGUGCUCUGGUUGAGAGUGCUGUAAAUGGCUGCGACAUCUGGGCUCUGGAACGCAAGUCCUUUGUCUGGCUUGAAGUAGUCGCUUGCAAUGUGUCUCAGCUUGAACAUCAACUUCUAUGCAUACGUGAGGAUGGCCCUUGGCUCAUGCUGUGUUGCUGUGGCCGAUCUCUUGUGCUUCUGGGGAUUCA